AGAGUUUGAUCCUGGCUCAGGAAUGAACGCUGGCGGCGUGCUUACACAUGCAAGUCGAACGGAGUGCUCAUGACAGAGGAUUCGUCCAAUGGAUUGAGUUACUUAGUGGCGGACGGGUGAGUAACGCGUGAGGAACCUGCCUCGGAGUGGGGAAUAACACAACGAAAGCUGUGCUAAUACCGCAUGAUACAGUUGGGUCGCAUGACUCUGACUGUCAAAGAUUUAUCGCUCUGAGAUGGCCUCGCGUCUGAUUAGCUAGUUGGCGGGGUAACGGCCCACCAAGGCGACGAUCAGUAGCCGGACUGAGAGGUUGACCGGCCACAUUGGGACUGAGACACGGCCCAGACUCCUACGGGAGGCAGCAGUGGGGAAUAUUGGGCAAUGGGCGCAAGCCUGACCCAGCAACGCCGCGUGAAGGAAGAAGGCUUUCGGGUUGUAAACUUCUUUUCUCAGGGACGAAGCAAGUGACGGUACCUGAGGAAUAAGCCACGGCUAACUACGUGCCAGCAGCCGCGGU
rnacentral:rRNA from 1 species